UUUUACGACCCGCAAAGUACCGCGUAAUUAAACCGAAUUUACAGCGUACCUAUUUGUAACAACAGGGUACCUCUACAGUACGUACUUGUAGGUAUAAGGGAAUAAUAUUUUAAGUUUGGGGUAAUAAGGGGUUAAGAAUAUGAAGAAUUAUAAAUUAUUUAUACUGCAAGUAUUUUAUAACUACAGGGUACCUAUUGUAAUUUUACGUGGUAUGUAUGACUUAGUCAAGUCUAUGGGGAAAUUAUGUUUUAUUAUUUUUUAUUUUAUUGUGAAUUUUUCAUAUUGACUACUGAAUGUUGUAUACAGUCGAUGUCUACGAGCCACAUCGGCAAAUAAAUAUAACAGCACAUCACUUUUAUUUUGGUAGCCUAUAUUACUUGCUUUUAAUAACAAAGGUCCAGCUGAUUUAAUGUGGUUAUCUUUUUUUUUAAGGUAAGUACAAUAAAAAUAGCAACUUAUUCCCUAUUUACCAGGAAACUCUUACAUUUGCGGACAUAUUUGAAGUGGUGCUUUGCAAUUUAUUUACUUUUAUUUCAAAUGACACAAUAAUGACCACAGAGCAGCACGCUAUUUGUUUAUUUUUAAUAGGUGUUAUCAUUGGUAGAAUAAAACUUUGCAACAUCUGUAAACACAAGUAUUUUAGCCAAAUAUAAUUGAUGCAAUGGCAAACCAGAAUGAAACAACAGCAGAUCAGCUCCCGCUAAAGCAAAAGACGACUACAUGCGUAGGCUACUGCAUCUGCAGGAGGUUUGCUGGAAUGCGAUCCUGAGGUGAAAUUUCUUUAAGAGGUUUUAAAAACUUUCUACACUGUGUGGAGUACGGCUGCGAGUGAUGUGAGCAGGUUCCGCAUGCUGGAUAAGAACAGCAUUUGUGAGACGACAUCAACUCAUCAUCCGAGUGGACAAGAACACCAACAGAGGAAGCCAAGCCGCAAAAACAAUGAAAAUUGUCAUGACUUUUUAUUUUAAAUAAAAGUAAUGUGAUAAUAAACAUUAAGUGUUGGCUUAAUUAUAGUGUUUUAAACAUGUUUUGAAAUAAGUUGUUUUAAAAUAAAAAUAACAAUAUUCUGUAUGUUUAUGGUAUUUACCCUAUAACAUUUAUAACAAGUACACAGAACAAGCGGGGAAUAAGCCCCACUUUAAUUUACAGCCCGCAAAUAUAAGAGUUACCUGGUAACUCCUUUAUACACAUACAGAUCAAAGAGGUACAAGUUGCUAUUAUUUUUAUGGUGUGUUAUAUUUUAUUUGCCAAUGUGGCUUGUAGACAUCAACUGUAGGCUAUAUAAAACACUUCAUCAGGUAAGUAGCAUAUUACACAUAGACCAUAUUACCCAGACGUAAGCCAUACAUACCACGUAAUAUUACAAUAGGUACCCUGUAGUUAUGAAAUACUUAGAGAAUAAUUUUCCAUAUAUUCUUACCCCCUUAUUACCCCAAACUUAAAAUAUUGUUCCCUUAUAACUACAAGUACGUACUGUAGAGGUACUCUGUUGUUACAAAUAGGUACGCUGUAAAUUCGGUUUAAUUACGGGGUACUUUGCGGGUCGUAAAAUAAAGUGUUACC